GAUGAACGCUGGCGGCGUGCCUAAUACAUGCAAGUCGAGCGAACAGACGAGGAGCUUGCUCCUCUGACGUUAGCGGCGGACGGGUGAGUAACACGUGGAUAACCUACCUAUAAGACUGUGAUAACUUCGGGAUACCGGAGCUAAUACUGGUUAAUAUAUUAAACCGCAUGUUUCAAUAGUAAAAGAUGGUUUUGCUGUCACUUAUAGAUGUAUCCUCGCCGCAUUAGCUAGUUGGUAAGGUAACGACUUACCAAGGCAACUCUGCGUAGCCGACCUGAGAGGGUGAUCGGCCUAACUGGAACUGAGACACGGACAAGAGUCCUACGGGAGGCAGCAGUAGGGAAUCUUCCGCAAUGGGCGAAAGCCUGACGGAGCAACGCCGCGUGAGUGAUGAAGGUCUUCGGAUCGUAAAACUCUGUUAUUAGGGAAGAACAAAUGUGUAAGUAACUAUGCACGUCUUGACGGUACCUAAUCAGAAAGCGAGGGCGAACUACGUG
rnacentral:rRNA from 1 species